UACGGAGGGAGCUAGCGUUGUUCGGAAUUAUUGGGCGUAAAGCGCGCGCAGGUGGUUCCUUAAGUCUGAUGUGAAAGCCCACGGCUCAACCGUGGAGGGUCAUUGGAAACUGGGGAACUUGAGUGCAGAAGAGGAAAGUGGAAUUCCAAGUGUAGCGGUGAAAUGCGUAGAGAUUUGGAGGAACACCAGUGGCGAAGGCGACUUUCUGGUCUGUAACUGACACUGAGGCGCGAAAGCGUGGGGAGCAAACAGG
rnacentral:rRNA from 1 species